GAGAUUCCCCCAGUAGCGGCGAGCGAACGGGGAGGAGCCCAGAGCCUGAAUCAGCAUGUGUGUUAGUGGAAGCGUCUGGAAAGGCGCGCGAUACAGGGUGACAGCCCCGUACACAAAAGCGCAUGUGCUGUGAGCUCGAUGAGUAGGGCGGGACACGUGGUAUCCUGUCUGAAUAUGGGGGGACCAUCCUCCAAGGCUAAAUACUCCUGACUGACCGAUAGUGAACCAGUACCGUGAGGGAAAGGCGAAAAGAACCCCGGCGAGGGGAGUGAAAAAGAACCUGAAACCGUGUACGUACAAGCAGUGGGAGCACCCUUUGGGUGUGACUGCGUACCUUUUGUAUAAUGGGUCAGCGACUUAUAUUCUGUAGCAAGGUUAACCGAAUAGGGGAGC
rnacentral:rRNA from 1 species